rnacentral:rRNA from 1 species
CCAUCUGGGAUACCCGCUGAACUUAAGCAUAUCAAUAAGCGGAGGAAAAGAAACCAACAGGGAUUGCCCUAGUAACGGCGAGUGAAGCGGCAACAGCUCAAAUUUGAAAUCUGGCUCUUUCAGGGUCCGAGUUGUAAUUUGUAGAGGGUGCUUUGGAGUUGACUGUGGUCUAAGUUCCUUGGAACAGGACGUCGCAGAGGGUGAGAAUCCCGUAUGUGGCCGCCAGUCUUCGCCGUGUAAAGCCCCUUCGACGAGUCGAGUUGUUUGGGAAUGCAGCUCUAAAUGGGAGGUAAAUUUCUUCUAAAGCUAAAUAUUGGCCAGAGACCGAUAGCGCACAAGUAGAGUGAUCGAAAGAUGAAAAGCACUUUGGAAAGAGAGUCAAAAAGCACGUGAAA